AUUGAACGCUGGCGGCAUGCCUUACACAUGCAAGUCGAACGGUAACAGGUCUUCGGAUGCUGACGAGUGGCGAACGGGUGAGUAAUACAUCGGAACGUGCCUAGUAGUGGGGGAUAACUACUCGAAAGAGUAGCUAAUACCGCAUGAGAUCUACGGAUGAAAGCAGGGGAUCGCAAGACCUUGUGCUACUAGAGCGGCCGAUGGCAGAUUAGGUAGUUGGUGGGAUAAAAGCUUACCAAGCCGAAGAUCUGUAGCUGGUCUGAGAGGACGAUCAGCCACACUGGGACUGAGACACGGCCCAGACUCCGACGGGAGGCAGCAGUGGGGAAUUUUGGACAAUGGGCGAAAGACUGAUCCAGCAAUGCCGCGUGAAGGAUGAAGGCCUUCGGGUUGUAAACUGCUUUUGUACGGAACGAAAAGCCCUGGGUUAAUACCCUGGGGUCAUGACGGUACCGUAAGAAUAAGCACCGGCUAACUACGUGCCAGCCGCCGCCGUAA
rnacentral:rRNA from 1 species